ACCGUGGUAAUUCUAGAGCUAAUACAUGCUAAAAAUCCCGACUCGCGAAGGGAUGUAUUUAUUAGAUUAAAAACCAAUGCCCCUCGGGGCUUUCAGGUGAUUCAUAAUAACUUCUCGAAUCGCAUGGCCUUGCGCCGGCGAUGGUUCAUUCAAAUUUCUGCCCUAUCAACUUUCGAUGGCAGGGUAUUGGCCUGCCAUGGUUACAACGGGUAACGGAGGGUUAGGGCUCGACCCCGGAGAAGGAGCCUGAGAAACGGCUACUACAUCCAAGGAAGGCAGCAGGCGCGCAAAUUACCCAAUCCCGACACGGGGAGGUAGUGACAAUAAAUACUGAUACAGGGCUCUUUUGGGUCUUGUAAUUGGAAUGAGUACAAUUUAAAUCCCUUAACGAGGAACAAUUGGAGGGCAAGUCUGGUGCCAGCAGCCGCGGUAAUUCCAGCUCCAAUAGCGUAUAUUAAAGUUGUUGCAGUUAAAAAGCUCGUAGUUGAACCUUGGGCCUGGCUGGCCGGUCCGCCUCACCGCGUGCACUGGUUCGGCCGGGCCUUUCCCUCUGGGGAGCCCUAUGCCCUUCACUGGGUGUAGUGGGGAACCAGGACUUUUACUGUGAAAAAAUUAGAGUGUUCAAAGCAGGCAUAUGCUCGAAUACAUCAGCAUGGAAUAAUAGAAUAGGACGUGUGGUUCUAUUUUGUUGGUUUCUAGGACCGCCGUAAUGAUUAAUAGGGACAGUCGGGGGCAUCAGUAUUCAAUUGUCAGAGGUGAAAUUCUUGGAUUUAUUGAAGACUAACUACUGCGAAAGCAUUUGCCAAGGAUGUUUUCAUUAAUCAGGAACGAAAGUUAGGGGAUCGAAGACGAUCAGAUACCGUCGUAGUCUUAACCAUAAACUAUGCCGACUAGGGAUCGGACGAUGUUAUUUUUUGACUCGUUCGGCACCUUACGAGAAAUCAAAGUUUUUGGGUUCUGGGGGGAGUAUGGUCGCAAGGCUGAAACUUAAAGAAAUUGACGGAAGGGCACCACCAGGAGUUAACAAGACCGCAGUCUCUGCUCCGAAAAGUAUAGCCUGUAACGGGUUGGUGGUAUGCCUGAUGGAAUAUACUAGUCGAGAGGCGACCGCCGCUGUCACCAGCGCGGCCGCCCCCCGGCGACAUCCUCAAAUUGCGGGAAAGCCCUGUGUAAAAGCAGCUAUUACUAAACACGCCUUGAGAAAGAGCGUGCGGCAGAGCGUAACGGCUCUGGUAUAGUAAGAACAUAGCUGCCUGGGGUGAUCCGCAGCCAAGCUCCCCGCGUGGUGCCUCGGGCACAGCGGCGGAGAAGGUUCAGAGACUUGACGGGGAUGGGUGAACAGCGAUUUGCUGGAACGCCUAAGAUAAAGUCCAUGAGUGGUGCGAAAGCACCAUUCCCUAUAUCCCUAUAGUAUAAAAGGGAGCCUGCGGCUUAAUUUGACUCAACACGGGGAAACUCACCAGGUUAACUCGGCAGUUACUGUCUGGGCCUGGAACAGUGAUAAACUUCGCUAGUGCUAGGUACUCGUCUACGCGGGAGAGCCUCCCGAUUCGGGCGUAGAGCGGCGGCAUGGCCACCGUUACCUAGUGCGACACCAGCUGGGUACAGGGGACGCUACGCCUACGCUGUAGGUAUGCCAAUCCUGUGGCGAGCUCAGGUUGCUCUGAGCCGUCGCAACGCGCGCAAAGCGGUGGGCCACGCUACGGCGUUGGCUUUAAGGUACGUGCUAAUCCUGCGAGAAAUCGCAGCCUCCCUGGAGUAGGUCCGAAUAACCGAAGCA
rnacentral:rRNA from 1 species